rnacentral:tmRNA from 1 species
GGGGGUGCAAUGGUUUCGACGGGGAUUUUGAAAGUGCGGGCAGCCAUCCGCAGACGGUAACUGCGUCGUUAAUACCGAAAUUUAAAAACAAUCGACAACGAUAAUUUAGCUUUUGCCGCUUAAUUAAAGCGGCCGCCGGCCUGAUGUAACCCGCUGCUCAGCAACCGGCGCCGACAGGCGGGGAACUUUUGCGCUUAAGCUUUGCCGCGCAAGAAGAUUUUAUGAAGCUACUAAAUUGCGGCGCGUGCCGGUUUGCGCCGCAGUGAGGGAACGUUAAUAACCGGCUGUGAUGGGAGAGGCUUUCACUAACGGAUUUUCGGACAGGGGUUCAAUUCCCCUCACCUCCAUUU